UACGUAGGGUGCAAGCGUUAAUCGGAAUUACUGGGCGUAAAGCGUGCGCAGGCGGUGAUGUAAGACAGGUGUGAAAUCCCCGGGCUUAACCUGGGAACUGCAUUUGUGACUGCAUUGCUGGGGUGCGGCAGAGGGGGAUGGAAUUCCGCGUGUAGCAGUGAAAUGCGUAGAUAUGCGGAGGAACACCGAUGGCGAAGGCAAUCCCCUGGGCCUGCACUGACGCUCAUGCACGAAAGCGUGGGGAGCAAACAGG
rnacentral:rRNA from 1 species